rnacentral:tRNA from 1 species
GGGGUUGUGGUUUAGUGGUAGAAUGUUUGCCUAGCAUGUAUAAGGUACUGGGUUGGUUCAAUCCUCAGCACCACA